GAUACUUCUUAUCCAGAUUCCACUACUAUAAAAUGCCUCAUCAGUGCUGGUUGAAAAUCAAUUUCAUUACCGGUUUUUCAACCGGCACUCUUUACUCGGCACUAAUAGAAAGAUACUAUCAGCUCUAGUUGCUCAUCCGAUACUAUUACUAUUUCCAGAGAAUAAAAAAAAUUAGCGGACGGGAGUGGCAUCCGAAGCCGGAAUCGAGCUGGCUCCCGCCGCCGCUCCCCUUCUUCCUCACCACCCUCCUCCGCGCCUCCCGUGCCCCCUUCUCUGCUGGCAUCAACAUACACCGUGCUCCACAUACACAAAUCAAAACCACAAAAUCAACACAAAAUCGAAGGUAGAGGCGACUGAUACACGCAUUGACAAAGAAAGUACAUACACACACAUACACACAAACACCAAAUUCUGCUUGCUACUAAAUACGAUCCAAACUUGCUCGAAGAAAGUACAUACACACAUACACCCAAAGCUUGUUCCUUUACUUCCCUUCAGCAUCGAAUCCGGUGACGCCCGACAAGGAGGCUGACGGGCGGAUGAGUGUGCGUGCGCGAGCACCAAGCUGCACCGCCACUGCCGCAUCUCGCCUCUGGGCGGAUGGAAGUGAGCGUGGGCGCCGGACCACGUCAUCGUCGCCGCGUUGCUCCACGCCGCAGCCUCCACUCCUCCAGCGCUAGUGCCAUCUCACGGCUAAUGUCCCGAGCACGCCGCCGCCGAGUCCCAGCCCAGCGGCCGACCUGUUGGUCGUCGACACCGCUGGCUGCAGACACCGAGCCGCAUCUAGGGUGCAUUCGGUGUGGGCGACAGCGUGGAAGGUAGAGGCGGAGGGGAUGGUGUAGAGCGGGGUAGAGGAGGAGAAUGGCACCAGCAUUGGAGGGCAACGACGGAUGAGACGGCGGGAACCAGAUCUGGGUACUAGGUGGCUUGGUGACUUCAUCCUGUCAAAGGUGAAAUUCCUCAUUCUUUAAAAGGAUACAAAUUGCACAGUGCAGUGCUCAGCAUGGGUGCAUAUUAUUGGUUCGAAAUACCGGACUGUACCUGGAACUAUAUUAUCGUACUGUACAAACGUGCAGUCUUUUUAGUCAGUAGAUUAGUCUUACAACCUAACCUCUUUACUUGAUGCUAAUUUUGGUUACUGACUGAAUGAUGAGCGCAUCUGAUCUGUGCUAACUUGAAUUUGCACAGUGUUGACAAUGAAAUUGUGCUUUGGGAACCAAAAACAAAAGAACAAAGUCCUGGCGAGGGUACCAUUGAUAUUCUUCAGAAGUACCCUGUGCCAGAGUGUGACAUCUGGUUUAUCAAAUUUUCACGUGAUUUUCACUUCAAUCAAUUGGCAAUAGGCAACCGUGAAAGUAAAGUCUAUGUCUGGAAAGUACAGUCCAGCCCAUCUGUUAUAAUUGCUCGGUAAUUUUAACUGGAAGAACUUGAGUUAUCUUGUCAUCUGCACGUACUACUGAUGCUUCUGGUUGUGAUUUGUGAACUCAUCGUCAUUUCCAAGCUCACUAAUCAGCAAUGCAAAUCGCCAUAAGGCAGACUGCAGUGUCGUUUGACGGAAGCACAAUCUUUGGCGCUGGCGAGGAUGGCACCAUAUCGCGAUGGGAUAAAGUGGACCAUCCAAGCGCCAAAAACUGAAGCAAGACCAACCGCCUGCCGAUGCCAGAUCGAUUGAGCUCGAUUUGGGGAUUUCUUG